AGAGUUUGAUAUGGCUCAGAAUCAACGCUGGCGGCGUGCCUCAGACAUGCAAGUCGAACGAUUAAACUUUCUUUCGGGAAAGAUAUAAAGUGGCGCACGGGUGAGUAACACGUAGGUAAUCUACCUUUGAGUGGGGAAUAACGUUCGGAAACGAACGCUAAUACCGCAUAAUGCAGCGGCACCGCAAGGUGACAGUUGUUAAAGGAGCAAUCCGCUUAAAGAGGAGCCUGCGGCAGAUUAGCUAGUUGGUAAGGUAACGGCUUACCAAGGCGACGAUCUGUAACCGACCUGAGAGGGUGGUCGGUCACACUGACACUGAAUAACGGGUCAGACUCCUACGGGAGGCAGCAGUCGGGAAUUUUGGGCAAUGGGCGAAAGCCUGACCCAGCAACGCCGCGUGAAGGAUGAAGUAUUUCGGUAUGUAAACUUCGAAAGAAUGGGAAGAAUCAAUGACGGUACCAUUUAUAAGGUCCGGCUAACUACGUGCCAGCAGCCGCGGUAAUACGUAGGGACCAAGCGUUGUUCGGAUUUACUGGGCGUAAAGGGCGCGUAGGCGGCAAAUCAAGUCAGCUGUGAAAUCUCCGAGCUUAACUCGGAACGGUCAGCUGAUACUGUUUUGCUAGAGUGCAGAAGGGGCAAUCGGAAUUCUUGGUGUAGCGGUGAAAUGCGUAGAUAUCAAGAGGAACACCUGAGGUGAAGACGGGUUGCUGGGCUGACACUGACGCUGAGGCGCGAAAGCUAGGGUAGCAAACGGGAUUAGAUACCCCGGUAGUCCUAGCCCUAAACGAUGAAUACUUGGUGUCUGGAGUAAUUUAAUUCUCCGGGUGCCGUCGCUAACGUUUUAAGUAUUCCGCCUGGGGAGUACGCACGCAAGUGUGAAACUCAAAUGAAUUGACGGGG
rnacentral:rRNA from 1 species